rnacentral:ncRNA from 2 species
AUCUUUGCCUACGGCUUCGGAACUAAAAAGGGGGUUAGUCAUGAGGGAACGCUGUGCGAAUCAGCGACAGUACCCGCUGCUGUAAGUCUCUAAGAAUCCGCACAAUAUGUCACUGUAUCACCGGUAUGGGAAGGCGUUGCGAGGGAGAGAUAAGUCAGAAUACCUGCCGAAACCGAUUGAAAACU